AACUACAAGUGAUUAUUUGUGGCGCCUUCUGCUCAAUGAUCUUUUAAAUAGCCGCAGUACUCUGACUGUGCAAAGGUAGCAUAAUAAUUUGGCUUUUAAUUGGGGUCUGGUAUGAAAGAAUGAAUGGGGAAAAGCUGUUUCAAUAGGAAUUUUAAAAUUUACUUAAGGGGUGAAAAUUCCUCUAUAUAAAUAAUAGACGAGAAGACCCUUGAAAUUUAUUUAUAUAUUUUGUUGGGGCGACAGAGUAGCAAAAUAACCUACUUAUAUAAUAUGGAUAAUAUAUUAGGAUAAUGGAAAUUACUCAAGGGAUAACAGCAUAAUUAUUUAAUAGUUUAUGACCUCGAUGUUGGAUUAGGAAUAUCUAACCCAGAAGGUAAAGAAAUUGCUCUGUUCGAGCAUUUAUUCCUACGUGAUCUGAGUU
rnacentral:rRNA from 1 species